rnacentral:lncRNA from 1 species
CUAGAGUUCACACUGGAAGGUUUUCAAGAUGAGAAGGGAGCCCACUUGCUGUAGGUCAGAAGUCCUCUGCAGGUAUAUAGACCCUGGGGUAUGUGAAUGGGGACUUGCAUUUCUCAAUGGUGCACAUAUGGUUAGUCACAUCAAGGUCCUGAGGGGACUAUAAAAGUCCCACUGCAGAAAAGCCCAACCAAGGCUACUAGCAUCCUCAUAUGAAUCAAGAGAAGGUUCAUUGAGCUCUACAUGAUCCCAGGUGAUCCUCCACUCCCACUGUCUCAUCUCUAAGAAAUCAGUUUCAAGAAGAAGAAGAAGACCAUCACAAAUGGCGUAACCAACUCCUACAAGCAACCUUGCACGAGAAGGACCAGUUAGCAUUUCCAGAUUCUAGUGGCUCGCCACUAGGAAGCUUCCUUAGGAUAGCUUCCCAAAGCCCUAGUAAGAACCCAUCUCUCACCCUUCCGUGUCCCACCUGCCUCCAUGGUUUCAUAAAACAUAUUUCACUAGCAAAGUCCCUUGGGGCUUCACUUCUUUUCCAUGGCCCCACCUUUCACCGUGAUGGAAACCUGGCUCUCUCCUGAGGACAUGGAAAGUAUUCAUCUUAUUUCCUACAGUUCUGGCUAGCAGGCGGUAGUACCCCACCUCUAUUUUGUUUCCCAGUGUAACAUUCAUUUGUUGAUGUAUCAUCAAGAUCCCCAACAUUGGUCCUAUGACUUCCUCAUUUUCUGUUACCCUUUCUUCCAUCUUAGCAGCCUUUCAGAGCAUCCAGGGUCAUUGCCUUAGCUGAGAUAGCCAUGAUAGCAGCAAGGAUGCUCCCUGCAGCCCACCGAAUCAUUCAGGGAUUGUGGUUCCACCAACAUUACGGUUGUACUACUUUGGCCCCUCCUCUUCCUACAUGUUCACAUCUGAUGUUGGCUCAUCCAGUCCCUGGGUACACCGGCUAGCCCUACUUUAAGAGCACCCCCAGUCUCCACUCUUCCAGUUGGGAAGAUUGCUCAUCCUCGUGAUAUCUUUAUCAGCUCUCUAAAACCUGCACAACAGCCCGCAUGGAUUCUCUUGUCACUGUUCUUGACCAAUUUGUGGAGCAUGAAGUUGGGAUAUUAAUAAGAAUUUAACUUUUGAAAAAAAAUUUAACUUAAAUAAAAUCAAAAAUCCCCAAAGAGGGUCAUGGGAAGACCUCAGCCUUCUCCCAGCAUCCGUUAGGAUAACAACUCUCCUGCAGAGGAGCAAGCCAAGUGCUAGGCAUCAGAAACAAAACCCAGGUAGUUCCCAGUGAACUUCCCACUAUGAAGCAAGACAGCCCGACAUUUGUCAGCAAGAUGUGUCGGUCAAGGAAUCAUCUCUGGAGCAAAAGCAGGAAGAGUGACCAAUUACGUGCCAGCUGAUACUCGUGUUUCUACCAGGGUAACACCAGAACACCCUUACACUCGCCUGACUCCACAGACUUAUUCAAAUCAUCAAGGAGUAGGGCUCACCCAAAGCAGGAGACACACAUUAUCUGCUGCAUGAUUCUCUCCCUCCCAUGAUGGUCUGGAAAUGAUACCAGCACCCUCCCAAAUAUCACAACCCUUUCAUCAGUGGUUAGGUUCUUGUCAGGAAGCACAGCACCGCUAUACAUCAUAAUGCGAGUGUGUGACUGUCAUUGUACAUACCUGGACUAGCUACUGAAGCCAAGGUCUCCUUACGGAAGGUGCCAUGCUGUCCAGAAAGCCCUCGAUGGCAGCACUGACAACUGGUUGACCAGAAUAAACAAAGCCAAGGGCACAGGCAUUACCAAUCUGCAAGCACUAAACGUGACCAUCUGUGAGCCCCGCCGUCUCUGGGCCAUCCACCAUGCAGCAAGGGUACCA